CGUAGGUGGCAAGCGUUACUCGGAAUCACUAGGCGUAAAGCGCAGGUAGGAGGUUUGGUAAGUCUGUUGUGAAAGCUCCCGGCUUAACUGGGAGAGGUCAACGGAAACUACUAGGCUAGAGUGCGGUAGAGGUAGCUGGAAUUCCCGGUGUAGCGGUGAAAUGCGUAGAUAUCGGGAGGAAUACCUAUGGCGAAAGCAGGCUACUGGACCGUCACUGACUCUGAUCUGCGAAAGCUAGGGGAGCAAACAGGAUUAGAUACCCUGGUAGUCCUAGCCCUAAACGAUGCUCAUUAGGUGUGGGAGGUAUCGACCCCUUCCGCGCCGUAGCUAACGCAUUAAAUGAGCCGCCUGGGGAGUACGGCCGCAAGGUUG
rnacentral:rRNA from 1 species